GCACUGCUGAGGAGUCCCAUAAUAGGACGAAACGGCCGUUCACUGU
rnacentral:hammerhead_ribozyme from 1 species